rnacentral:rRNA from 1 species
UACGGGGGGGGCAAGCGUUGUUCGGAAUUACUGGGCGUAAAGGGCUCGUAGGCGGCCAACUAAGUCAAACGUGAAAUCCCUCGGCUUAACCGGGGAACUGCGUCUGAUACUGGAUGGCUUGAGAUUGGGAGAGGGAUGCGGAAUUCCAGGUGUAGCGGUGAAAUGCGUAGAUAUCUGGAGGAACACCGGUGGCGAAGGCGGCCCUCUGGACGGUGACUGACGCUGAGACGCGAAAGCGUGGGGAGCAAACAGG